rnacentral:rRNA from 1 species
CCGGGGAGGGUCAUUGGAAACUGGGGAACUUGAGUGCAGAAGAGGAGAGUGGAAUUCCACGUGNAGCGGUGAAAUGCGUAGAGAUGUGGAGGAACACCAGUGGCGAAGGCGACUCUCUGGUCUGUAACUGACGCUGAGGCGCGAAAGCGUGGGGAGCGAACAGGAUUAGAUACCCUGGUAGUNCACGCCGUAAACGAUGAGUGCUAAGUGUUAGAGGGUUUCCGCCCUUUAGUGCUGCAGCAAACGCAUUAAGCACUCCGCCUGGGGAGUACGGUCGCAAGACUGAAACUCAAAGGAAUUGACGGGGGCCCGCACNAGCGGUGGAGCAUGUGGUUUAAUUNGAAGCAACGCGAAGAACCUUACCAGGUCUUGACAUCCUNUGACAACCCUAGAGAUAGGGCUUCCCCUUCGGGGGCAGAGUGACAGGUGGUGCAUGGUUGUCGUCAGCUCGUGUCGUGAGAUGUUGGGUUAAGUCCCGCAACGAGCGCAACCCUUGAUCUUAGUUGCCAGCAUUCAGUUGGGCACUCUAAGGUGACUGCCGGUGACAAACCGGAGGAAGGUGGGGAUGACGUCAAAUCAUCAUGCCCCUUAUGACCUGGGCUACACACGUGCUACAAUGGGCAGAACAAAGGGCAGCGAAGCCGCGAGGCUAAGCCAAUCCCACAAAUCUGUUCUCAGUUCGGAUCGCAGUCUGCAACUCGACUGCGUGAAGCUGGAAUCGCUAGUAAUCGCGGAUCAGCAUGCCGCGGUGAAUACGUUCCCGGGCCUUGUACACACCGCCCGUCACACCACGAGAGUUUGUAACACCCGAAGUCGGUGAGGUA